rnacentral:rRNA from 1 species
GUAGGAUGCAAGCGUUGUCCGGAAUUACUGGGCGUAAAGGGUCCGUAGGCGGUUUGUUAAGUCUCCUGUGAAAGUUCAGGGCUCAACCCUGAAAUGUCGGGGGAUACUGGCAAACUUGAGACUGUCAGAGGCAAGUGGAAUUCCCGGUGUAGUGGUGAAAUGCGUAGAUAUCGGGAGGAACACCAGUGGCGAAAGCGGCUUGCUGGGACAGUUCUGACGCUGAGGGACGAAAGCGUGGGUAGCAAACCGGAUUAGAUACCCGGGUAGUCCACGCCCUAAACGAUGGAUGCUAGGUUUGCGGGGUAUCGACCCCCCCCUGUGAGCCGUAGGUAACCCCCGUUAAGCAUCCCGCCUGGGGACUACGACCGCAAGGUUA